AAGAUCUUGCCUCCAAACCCAGAUGUUUGAUGGUCAUACGGGUCACCUUUGAGAACCUGAUGACACUCACAGGGCCCUGAUCCAGACUCAGAGUCUUCUUAGGUGGUGGCAGCUGAUGGAGAACAUUCCCAUCUCUCUUCUCCUUGCUUGAUACUCCUGAGAUUUCGGUUUUGUAACCUCAAGAUCUCUCCCGUAAAGCUAAUCAUUUGCAAUCCAUCUGUAGAGUUCCCAUGACCUCUUGUUCUCUGGAGCAAGAGCUGUGACAUCAAGAUGGCCUCUCUUGGAUCUCACUGCAUCCUGGUGGAGGCUUGCCCUUCUCACUCCCUCCCUUUAUGAGUGCUUGGGAACUUUUGGAGUUCUUCAGGAAGUAGAAGGCAUAUAGAAAAUGGGCACCUUUCUAUCAGUAGACUGGCUAUGGGGCAUCAUGUCUUUCUUAGAGUUGAAGUUACCUGAGGGAUUUAUUUUCUCAUCAGGGGAUGUUUGCAGACUAGAAGGUGACUUUAAAGGCAUCAUGGGAGAACAGAAAAUAGAAAACUAGGAGCAACAUCUGUGCUGAUUGCUCUGAACCUGAUACCAAUUGAUGUAAAGAUCUGCUGAGCCCUAAGGAUGGCUCAAUUUAAUUGAACUAUUACUACAUUCCUAAGAAGGCUUGAGACUGGACUUCUGGAGACUCUGGAAUACUCAGCUCUACCAUCAUCAGCUCUGUGUGUUCAGCAUUUCCAAGCCCCACCCAUAAAAGUUGCAAUCAACAGCAUCUACUUCUCAGGCUGGUCGUGAGCAACACAUUUCUUAAUAAGUAUUGGUAUCGCUUGGAACAAUAGCUACCAUAUAGAAAGUGCUCAAACGAUAUUGGCGAAAACGUCUGCACUUUCUAUUUGUCUAAGCCAUGCACCUCUGGAGUCAAGUGACACUAGCCAUCUUAUUUAAUAAGAGUAAGACCUUUUAGGUCUUACUGGGGGUGGUGGCACACUCCUACAAUUUUGGCACUUUGGAGGUAGAAGCAGGAGGAUUAGGAGCCCAGGUUCAUCCUUGGCUACCUAGGGAAUUCAGUGUCACCCUGGACUACAUGAGACCCUGUCUAAACAAUCAUGUGUGAUAUAUGGGAUGGGAAUAAUAACACCCUAUGGAGCUGUUGUGUACCUACAUACAAAAGAUGCUCAUAAAACGCUUCAAAGAGUGUGACACAGGGUGAAUGCUCCAUCGAGGUUAUCCAUUAUCCCCACACCUGGCCUCUUAUUAUUUAUCAGGCUGCAUCUAAAAUACAGUUUAAAACUGAGCCUAACUCCUGACUUUUACCAAAGCUGUUAUUCGUAUGGCCUUUCAAUGACUGUCAGUCCACAAAGUGGCUGCCUCGAGGCUUACAUGGUCUUGGGCACUGCGGCACUCACUCUGUAGAAGUUUAAUUGGGGUGUGGUGUGGUUGGCUGUGUGCUAGAAUAAACAAUAGCAGUUAUCAUUAUUUUGCUAGGUUCUGAGCUAAGAUCAUAAACCUCAUUUUACAGAUGAGGAAAUAAAGUCCUAGAGAGGUUAUUUGUGCUCCAACGUCUACGAAGGGAACCCAGGAUUCAGACCGACUGGCCUUCUUGUAUCCCGUGUAAUGUAGCUGUAAUACGAAAAGGGCAUGGUAUUGCAACCAGUAACAUCUAUAGUAGCUUUGAUCCCAGAGUUUUAUUUUGGUUCAGACAGUAGAGUUCAGUCCUUGGAACUGUAACAGUAACUUCGGGUUAAUUUAUAGCAAGAAGAAAGGGAAAUACGCCUGGGACAGAAAAGGAGAGAAUGAAGAAGAAGCGGCUGGCUAUGGCCUGCACAUCUAUCAUCUCAGCACUUAGCAGGCUGGGCCAGAAGGGCUGAGAGGCGGCCAACCUGGGCUACCUCAGGAAACCUUGUCCAAGAAAACAGAGCAACAUGCCAGAACAGUAAAUCAUGGCUAGUUGAUACACUACAUUUGGAUUAAAAAAAUCAUUUAUUUUUACAUUAAAAAUAGA